AAAACUAGCCAGUCCUUUGGGUAUGAGACCCAUUUGGGCGAGAGUAGUACUAUGAUGGGUGACCUCCUGGGAAGUCCUCGUGAAAGGGUUUC
rfam:Triticum aestivum genome assembly, contig: Triticum_aestivum_CS42_TGACv1_scaffold_308552_4AS